rnacentral:rRNA from 1 species
UACGUAGGGGGCAAGCGUUGUUCGGAAUUACUGGGCGUAAAGAGCGCGCAGGCGGCUGGUCAAGUCCGAUGUGAAAUCUCCCGGCUUAACUGGGAAACUGCAUCGGAAACUGAUCGGCUUGAAGGUGGGAGAGGGUAGUGGAAUUCCCGGUGUAGUGGUGAAAUGCGUAGAUAUCGGGAGGAACACCAGUGGCGAAGGCGACUACCUGGCCCAUUCUUGACGCUGAGGCGCGAAAGCUAGGGGAGCGAACGGG